rnacentral:rRNA from 1 species
AUUGAACGCUGGCGGCAUGCCUUACACAUGCAAGUCGAACGGCAGCACGGAGCUUGCUCUGGUGGCGAGUGGCGAACGGGUGAGUAAUAUAUCGGAACGUACCCAAGAGUGGGGGAUAACGUAGCGAAAGUUACGCUAAUACCGCAUACGAUCUAAGGAUGAAAGUGGGGGAUCGCAAGACCUCAUGCUCCUGGAGCGGCCGAUAUCUGAUUAGCUAGUUGGUGAGGUAAAGGCUCACCAAGGCAUCGAUCAGUAGCUGGUCUGAGAGGACGACCAGCCACACUGGAACUGAGACACGGUCCAGACUCCUACGGGAGGCAGCAGUGGGGAAUUUUGGACAAUGGGGGCAACCCUGAUCCAGCAAUGCCGCGUGAGUGAAGAAGGCCUUCGGGUUGUAAAGCUCUUUUGUCAGGGAAGAAACGGUGAAGGCUAAUAUCCUUUGCUAAUGACGGUACCUGAAGAAUAAGCACCGGCUAACUACGUGCCAGCAGCCGCCGUAAGAC